rnacentral:hammerhead_ribozyme from 1 species
AUCCAGCUGAUGAGUUCCAAAUAGAACGAAACGCCCGUUCUUUAU